rnacentral:lncRNA from 1 species
CCCGGACCGCAUAGCUAGUGAGGGUUGGGGAACAAGCUUCAGGGGAAAAGGGGGAGGGUGGACUCUAGGAAGACCCAUCGCAGGACCAUCAUCCCCCAAGCCACACAGGUUCCAAUGACAGCCAUCCCUUGCUAUAACUUUUAAACUGUAUUUGGAAUAACACUGGCCAGGAAAAAAAUAUAUAAAAUUUUUCCUUAUGGUGAAUAAACAAGGCCAGACCCGACUUUCUAAGUACUAUGAGCAUGUGGAGAUUAAUAAGCCUACACUUCUGGAAACAGAAGUCAUAAAGAUCUGUCUCUCUCUAUCCAAUGAACAAUAUUCUUUCAUUGAAUAUAAGGAUUUUAAGCUGAUAUAUAGGCAAUACGCAGCUCUCUUCAUUGUGGUUGGAGUUAAUGACACUGAGAAUGAGAUGGCUAUUUAUGAAUUCAUCCACAAUUUUGUGGAAGUUUUAGAAGAGUACUUCAGCUGAGUGAGUGAACUUGAUAUAAUGUUUAAUUUGGAAAAAGUACACAUAAUUUUGGAUGCGAUGGUGUUAAAUGGCUGCAUUGUGGAAACUAAUAGGGCAAGAAUUCUUGCCCCUCUACAAAUUCUUGAUAAGAUGUCAGAAAGCUGAAUAGAAGGCUCUGCCAGAUAGCAUCAAUUCAUAGGAAAUGUGAAGACCAUUUGAAAAGAAUCUGGAAGACUACCUAUUAUGAAAUGGGGUACCCUUCCAAACAAUAUAAAUAGGUAUUUUCCACAGUUCCUAAAUGGAAAAUAAAGUUUUUAAAAAUAUGUACAAAGAAAAAUCCUCUCUUAACUGAAGAAAGUUCUAUUUUCAGUAACUAUAAGCAUAUUUUUUCCCACUUCUUCAAAUUUUGUUGAAUACCUAAGAAAUCCUCUUUGGUCUCUGCUUCCUUUUGCAAAUUAAAUUCAGGAAUAGUAGGAUGGUGG